rfam:Trichuris suis scaffold332.2, whole genome shotgun sequence.
UCUCCUGUGAUCUAGUGGUUAGGAUUUGUGGCUUUCACCCACAAGGCCCAGGUUCAACUCCCGGCACUGGAG